rnacentral:tRNA from 1 species
GGGUCGGUAGCAUAAUGGUUAUUGCAAGGCGCUCAUAACGCCGAGGUUGCAGGUUCAAAUCCUGCCCGACCCACCA